rnacentral:lncRNA from 1 species
GGCGUGGCCGGGAGAAGACGGGCUCCCCGACACAUUCUCCAGGUCGGAAAGCAUGGAGCUGAACACAAACAACACAGGAUCCUGCUGAACUCCAACCUGGCCAGCCUGUAGUGUUCGCUGCCUCUGAAAGCACCCCCAGCCAAUACUGGGGAAGGGGAAAAAUCAAACCAAAACAAAAAGCGCUACCCCGAGUGCUUUCCGCCUGUGGCCCGUGGAGAGAUUACAGCAGGCCACAAUGUCGGCACCUAUAUUGAACACUGGUUCCCCUUUCCAGACUUUAGAAGCUUAAGAGCCCCAGAAUUCGUCUUUAAAGCAGAUGCAGGACAACACCUCCUGGAGGUCAGGCUGAGACAUCAGGAACCGAGGAACUGUUUUGUAAGACACGUUCUCCACUAAUAACUCGGUAUUUCCCUCCUGAUACAUAUCUAAUUAGCCUCGAAGCAAUUGUCCUCAUUAUCCACUCACCUCCGAAACCUGCUGCCUCCAUUUCAGAUCCGAAGCUGGGCCCGCCUGCCCGAAAAGGCACGGCGUAUCCACCCCACCCCUGCAGCACCAUCCAGCCCGUCUGAAGAGGAGUUACUACAAAUGUCCGAGCCUCCUCCGAGCCUACUCUCUGCAACGACCCCGGAGCCCGAACGGGAGUUCUUGGACCUCUCCAGUCGCCAGCAUCUUUGGUGAGCACCACAGGAGUGCACAGGAUUGGGGUAGCAGCCACAGCAGGGCUGAAUACGGAGGAUCAGCAACUCUCUGGCUACUAAGAAGGCUCCUGUGUCUAUAUCCAAUGAUCAGCCAGGCCUGAAACCUUCUUGUAUGCCAGUGCCUGAACUCACAGCUACUGAGUCAUGCAACUACAGAUCAUUAAAUAUAUAUGAAGUGAAAUUUUGGGCUUAGGGUAUAAGUUCACAAAAAUCCUGUGUUACGUGUCUUCUGGGCCAGGAGGGAGGGAGGGAAUCUAGCUCUGGUUUAAUAAUGAUAGAUGAUUACUGCUUUUGAAGUGCUAAAUUUUCUACACAGCCAAAAGACUUUUUUAACAUAAGUGUAGUUAGAGGUUUAAAACUGUAUGCUCACACCAAGAGUCUGCUCAUUGCCCUUCAUCCUGCAAUGAGCUCGGUGUGGUGAAGCCCUGUACUCACCCUGGAGAAUCGAGAGUACUGUACGGUACAUAAAGCAUGGAAAUUGAAGAUGUGUGAUUGAUAGUUUUCCAGGUAGUGCAAUUCUGCUGCGUGCCAGCACAGAUAACUG